rnacentral:rRNA from 1 species
GAUGAACGCUGGCGGCGUGCUUAACACAUGCAAGUCGAACGGUGAAGGCGGAGCUUGCUCUGCUGGAUCAGUGGCGAACGGGUGAGUAACACGUGAGCAAUCUGCCCCUGACUCUGGGAUAAGCGCUGGAAACGGCGUCUAAUACUGGAUACGAGCUGCGAAGGCAUCUUCAGCAGCUGGAAAGAACUUCGGUCAGGGAUGAGCUCGCGGCCUAUCAGCUUGUUGGUGAGGUAACGGCUCACCAAGGCGUCGACGGGUAGCCGGCCUGAGAGGGUGACCGGCCACACUGGGACUGAGACACGGCCCAGACUCCUACGGGAGGCAGCAGUGGGGAAUAUUGCACAAUGGGCGGAAGCCUGAUGCAGCAACGCCGCGUGCGGGAUGACGGCCUUCGGGUUGUAAACCUCUUUUAGCAGGGAAGAAGCGAAAGUGACGGUACCUGCUGAAAAAGCGCCGGCUAACUACGUG